UGUUUGCUUUCUCUGACUGUGGGUCAGGAUGGAAAGCUCUUAACUACUGCUCUGGUGCCAUGCUCGUCUGUUUCAGCUCCUUCUCCAGCACCGUGUCUGCCUGCACACUGCCAUACUUCCCGCCUUGAUGAUAAUGGACUAAACCCCUGAACCUGCUUUCUUCAUUUUGCUUGCCUGUGUCACCUCUGCUGAAUAGAUUCCAGGAGUUUCUUCACUGAGAUGACUUGAUCUACAUACACCUCAGCAUGCUUUGGUGAUUGUUUGUCAAAAGACACCUGAGUAUCUCCUAACUCUAAGGUCUCUCAGGAACGCCAACAAGAUACAAUUAAGACCAGGUUUAAACUUCUCUAGGCACGAACCCUCAUAUCAAGGCUGGGCGAAGCAACCUAGUAGGAGGAAAAGGGGCUCAAGAGCAGAUAAAUAUAGCUCUCACUCCUCAUCAAAGAAGUGUAUUCUUGCAGAAAACAGACAAUUUCAGAGAACUGCACCUAAUCAAAAUGCAGCGAACAAAUGAAUGUAGGGUGCCCAACCACCUCUCAAGUUCAUGGAACAUCAGAGAAGGAUGGAAAGAUUUAAAGAGCCAGAGAACCAGUAAGUUUACUGUAAGAUUGUGUCUACUAGAAGUGAAAGGGAAGCUAUACCAUGAAACCUCAAAAAUAUGGCUACCAAAAAGGACUUGAAUAGUGGCCACACCAAUAGGCAUGCUUACUUUGAAGGAGGAAAUUUUAUGGGACCCCACCCCUAGACAAAGAACUACAGGUAAUGACAACAGGU